GACGAACGCUGGCGGCGUGCUUAACACAUGCAAGUCGAACGGAAAGGCCCUGCUUUUGUGGGGUGCUCGAGUGGCGAACGGGUGAGUAACACGUGAGUAACCUGCCCUUGACUUUGGGAUAACUUCAGGAAACUGGGGCUAAUACCGGAUAGGAGCUCCUGCUGCAUGGUGGGGGUUGGAAAGUUUCGGCGGUUGGGGAUGGACUCGCGGCUUAUCAGCUUGUUGGUGGGGUAGUGGCUUACCAAGGCUUUGACGGGUAGCCGGCCUGAGAGGGUGACCGGCCACAUUGGGACUGAGACACGGCCCAGACUCCUACGGGAGGCAGCAGUGGGGAAUAUUGCACAAUGGGCGGAAGCCUGAUGCAGCAACGCCGCGUGCGGGAUGACGGCCUUCGGGUUGUAAACCGCUUUCGCCUGUGACGAGGCGUGAGUGACGGUAAUGGGUAAAGAAGUACCGGCUAACUACGUGCCAGCAGCCGCGGUGAUACGUAGGGUGCGAGCGUUGUCCGGAUUUAUUGGGCGUAAAGGGCUCGUAGGUGGUUGAUCGCGUCGGAAGUGUAAUCUUGGGGCUUAACCCUGAGCGUGCUUUCGAUACGGGUUGACUUGAGGAAGGUAGGGGAGAAUGGAAUUCCUGGUGGAGCGGUGGAAUGCGCAGAUAUCAGGAGGAACACCAGUGGCGAAGGCGGUUCUCUGGGCCUUUCCUGACGCUGAGGAGCGAAAGCGUGGGGAGCGAACAGGCUUAGAUACCCUGGUAGUCCACGCUGUAAACGGUGGGUACUAGGUGUGGGGUCCAUUCCACGGGUUCCGUGCCGUAGCUAACGCUUUAAGUACCCCGCCUGGGGAGUACGGCCGCAAGGCUAAAACUCAAAGGAAUUGACGGGGCCCCGCACAAGCGGCGGAGCAUGCGGAUUAAUUCGAUGCAACGCGUAGAACCUUACCUGGGUUUGACAUGGAUCGGGAGUGCUCAGAGAUGGGUGUGCCUCUUUUGGGGUCGGUUCACAGGUGGUGCAUGGCUGUCGUCAGCUCGUGUCGUGAGAUGUUGGGUUAAGUCCCGCAACGAGCGCAACCCUUGUUCACUGUUGCCAGCACGUUAUGGUGGGGACUCAGUGGAGACCGCCGGGGUCAACUCGGAGGAAGGUGGGGAUGACGUCAAGUCAUCAUGCCCCUUAUGUCCAGGGCUUCACGCAUGCUACAAUGGCUGGUACAGAGAGUGGCGAGCCUGUGAGGGUGAGCGAAUCUCGGAAAGCCGGUCUCAGUUCGGAUUGGGGUCUGCAACUCGACCUCAUGAAGUCGGAGUCGCUAGUAAUCGCAGAUCAGCAACGCUGCGGUGAAUACGUUCCCGGG
rnacentral:rRNA from 1 species